GAUAAUUGUCAUCUGCAUCUGGAAGCACAUCGCUUACUGGGUCUCCACUCCACCCUGUUGACAGCACUAUUUGCUUCAUUCUAUACAAGGAUGUCCCCUGCACAAAGCCAGGUGCCCUGAUUCUUAGAAUGUAAUGGUGGCCCACGCUAUUCCUUUCAGCUUCCUACCCGAAAACAGAUACUGAACUUCCUGUCUGAGCUAGGAUUUUAUUGCUGUGAUAAACACUACGAACGAUCAAAAGUAACUUGGAGAGAAAAGAGUUUAUGGCAUCCUACAGCCUGCAGUCCGUUAU
rnacentral:lncRNA from 1 species